rnacentral:rRNA from 1 species
CCCUUAGAUGUCCUGGGCCGCACGCGCGCUACACUGAUGCAUGCAACGAGUUUAGAACCUUGGCUGGAAGGCCUGGGUAAUCUGUGAACGUGCAUCGUGAUAGGGAUAGAUUAUUGCAAUUAUUAAUCUUGAACGAGGAAUUCCUAGUAAACGCAAGUCAUCAGCUUGCAUUGAUUACGUCCCUGCCCUUUGUACACACCGCCCGUCGCACCUACCGAUCGAAGGUAAUGAUGAGCCCUUAGGAUUGUGGCUUGGGACACGCUUGCGUGACCCUCGCCGCGAGAAUUUGUGCAAAUCCCUACCUUUAGAGGAAGGUGAAGUCGUAACA